GACGAACGCUGGCGGCGUGCUUAACACAUGCAAGUCGAACGGAAAGGCCCUGCUUUUGUGGGGUGCUCGAGUGGCGAACGGGUGAGUAACACGUGAGUAACCUGCCCUUGACUUUGGGAUAACUUCAGGAAACUGGGGCUAAUACCGGAUAGGAGCUCCUGCUGCAUGGUGGGGGUUGGAAAGUUUCGGCGGUUGGGGAUGGACUCGCGGCUUAUCAGCUUGUUGGUGGGGUAGUGGCUUACCAAGGCUUUGACGGGUAGCCGGCCUGAGAGGGUGACCGGCCACAUUGGGACUGAGAUACGGCCCAGACUCCUGCGGGAGGCAGCAGUGGGGAAUAUUGCACAAUGGGCGGAAGCCUGAUGCAGCAACGCCGCGUGCGGGAUGACGGCCUUCGGGUUGUAAACCGCUUUCGCCUGUGACGAAGCGUGAGUGACGGUAAUGGGUAAAGAAACACCGGCUAACUACGU
rnacentral:rRNA from 1 species